AUGCUUUGGCAGCGCAUAUGCUAAACUUGGAACGAUACAGAGAUCAGUGUGGUCCCCGUGCAAGGAAGACAUGCGAAUUCAUAAAGCGGUCCAUAUUCUU
ensembl:snRNA U6 U6 spliceosomal RNA